UUUCCUUCGGGAUUGAUUAUUUUGUGACUGAGUGGCGGACGGGUGAGUAACGCGUGAGGAACCUGCCUUUCAGAGGGGGACAACAGUUGGAAACGACUGCUAAUACCGCAUGACGCAUGACUGGGGCAUCCCGGACAUGCCAAAGAUUUAUCGCUGAAAGAUGGCCUCGCGUCCGAUUAGAUAGUUGGCGGGGUAACGGCCCACCAAGUCGACGAUCGGUAGCCGGACUGAGAGGUUGGCCGGCCACAUUGGGACUGAGAUACGGCCCAGACUCC
rnacentral:rRNA from 1 species